rnacentral:tRNA from 1 species
AAAGAAAUAUCUUAAAAAAAGCUUCUAACUUUUUUAAAAGCAGUUAUGUUUAU